rnacentral:rRNA from 1 species
GACGAACGCUGGCGGCGUGCUUAACACAUGCAAGUCGAACGGAAGGGCCCUGCUUUUGUGGGGUGCUCGAGUGGCGAACGGGUGAGUAACACGUGAGUAACCUGCCCUUGACUUUGGGAUAACUUCAGGAAACUGGGGCUAAUACCGGAUAGGAGCUCCUGCUGCAUGGUGGGGGUUGGAAGGUUUCGGCGGUUGGGGAUGGACUCGCGGCUUAUCAGCUUGUUGGUGGGGUAGUGGCUUACCAAGGCUUUGACGGGUAGCCGGCCUGAGAGGGUGACCGGCCACAUUGGGACUGAGAUACGGCCCAGACUCCUACGGGAGGCAGCAGUGGGGAAUAUUGCACAAUGGGCGGAAGCCUGAUGCAGCAACGCCGCGUGCGGGAUGACGGCCUUCGGGUUGUAAACCGCCUUCGCCUGUGACGAAGCGUGAGUGACGGUAAUGGGUAAAGAAGCACCGGCUAACUACGUG